rfam:Canis lupus familiaris chromosome 18, whole genome shotgun sequence.
GCGAUUUGGGCAGCAUAUAUACUAAAAUUGGAAUGGUACACAGAAGAUCAGAGUGGCCCCUGCACAAGGAUGACAUGCAAAUUUGUGAAGGAAGCAUGAGUGAU